UUUGAUUUGGGCUGAUUAUGGUCAUCAUUACGUGAAAGUUAGAAAACUCUGCAACCUCGAGCUCUUUACUCCUAAGAGACUUGAAGCUCUUAGACCUAUUAGAGAAGAUGAAGUCACUGCCAUGAUCUGAGCUUUUUACUCCUAAGAGACUUGAUGCUCUUAGACCUAUUAGAGAAGAUGAAGUCACUGCCAUGAUCCACGACAUCUUUACAGACUCCACAAAGCCAGGUACGCUUUUCACUUUUAAUUUAUUUACUCUUUUUUUUUAAUGCCCUGCGUAAUAACUUCAUUUCAAUAAGAUUAUUUCUUGUCUGGAAUUUCAU
rnacentral:lncRNA from 1 species